UCAACCUAGACAACAACACGCCCGCGAAGCAGAGUUUUCCGAAACUUAAAGUUUUGGGACCUUUUGUUCUUGGUGCUUAUGAGAGUGAUGGUUGGGAUGAUGAUGAUUACUCAGAUGUAUCAGACGCUUCGGAGUAUUUAGCUUGGGAUUUUGUAGCUGGUAAUGAAUACUAUGUCGAUGAUGAUAGUGAUGGUAGUGAUGGUUAUGAAGGGAGGAUAGAAGAUGAGCUUGAGUUUGGAUUAUAUGAAGGGAUAGAAGAUGCUGGAAUGUAUUGGCCUCCAUCUCCAUAAUUUGAUUAUAUUAUUAAUUACAUUUGCUAUGAUAUUAAGUGUAUGGUU
rnacentral:lncRNA from 1 species